rnacentral:lncRNA from 1 species
UAAGGGAUAAAAAUCUCACAUCAGUUAAGUACCAAAAUAUUGACCAACUUAAAAAAAAUAUUGGGCUACUGCUCUUAAUAAGAUUGACCUUUUAAGAUGGAACCCCAAGUCUUAACAUGGGAUUUUUUUUUCUUUUCGUGUUUUUCUAUUAAUUUAUAUUUUGAUGAGUUUGUGGUUCUUUUGUCAAAUUCGUAGCAUUUGCUUCAACUUAUUUAUACGACUGUGUUUCUUCGAAGGCAGAAUCGUAUUUCACAUUUUGAGUCUACAAACAGAGUAAAGGAACAUAUUGGGAUAUGAUAUUUUGAUUUGAAGGAGAACGGUUUACCGGUAUCAUGUUUUGUAUCCAGAAAUAGAAGUGCUCAUAUACCCUGGCAGCAAGUAUUACCUUGAUUUUGCAUUGCUCUCGGUUGUUCAUUUAUUCCUAUAUCCUAUGAUUCCUUUUAGUGACUACUUUAGCCUCAGUCAAGCUUAGACUUCUUGUGUACCAGUAGAUGGAUCCACUGAGAAAAUCAAGAGAAGCACACCUACUUAACAGAUCGACGAGAUGAAAUUUCCAGUAAAUAGGUUGAUUGAAGGAAGCAACAAGGAUGCUGAUCAAAACUUGCAGCCGGUGGUGAUUGAGAUGUACAAUUUCUGGCCAACUUCCAUAAUGUAGUUUAUCAUCAUGGAGCUUCGUGGGUAGUUGAAAUUGCACGAUGGCUAUCUGGAUGUCCUUCGAAUACCAAAGUGGUGAAAUAUCUUAAGGUAUUUUAUCUGAUGACCUUCAAGGAUAUAUAGCUAAUAGAAAAGGCUGAUGGUUUUACUGGUGUUUGGUAAG